rnacentral:rRNA from 1 species
AAUACGUAGGUGGCAAGCGUUGUCCGGAUUUACUGGGCGUAAAGAGCGCGCAGGCGGUCGUGCAAGUCGCGUGUGAAAGCCCCCGGCUCAACUGGGGAGGGUCACGCGAUACUGCUCGACUUGAAGGCAGGAGAGGGAAGCGGAAUUCCCGGUGUAGUGGUGAAAUGCGUAGAUAUCGGGAGGAACACCAGUGGCGAAGGCGGCUUCCUGGCCUGUUCUUGACGCUGAGGCGCGAAAGCUAGGGGAGCAAACGGGA